UACGAAGGUGGCAAGCGUUACUCGGAAUUACUAGGCGUAAAGGGCAGGUAGGCGGUUCGAUAAGUCUGUUGUGUCAGCUCCCGGCUUAACUGGGAGAGGUCAACGGAAACUAUCGAGCUAGAGUGUGGGAGAGGGUACUGGAAUUCCUGGUGUAGCGGUGAAAUGCGCAGAGAUCAGGAGGAACACCUAUGGCGAAAGCAAGUACCUGGACCAAUACUGACGCUCAGCUGCGAAAGCUAGGGGAGCAAACAGG
rnacentral:rRNA from 1 species